rnacentral:rRNA from 1 species
UACGUAGGGGGCAAGCGUUGUCCGGAUUUAUUGGGCGUAAAGAGCGUGUAGGCGGCCAGGUAGGUCCGUUGUGAAAACUCGAGGCUCAACCUCGAGACGUCGGCGGAAACCCUCUGGCUAGAGUCCGAAAGAGGAGAGUGGAAUUCCCGGAGUAGCGGUAAAAUGCGUGGAUCUCGGGAGGAACACCAAUGGCGAAGGCAGCUUCUUGGCUCAUUCCUGACGUUGAGGCACGAAAGCGUGGGGAGCAAACAGG